GAGUCAAUGAUGAGAACCUUAUAUUGUCCUGAAGAGGUGAUGACUUAAAAAUCGCACUCCAAUAGAGGAUUACGCUGAGGCC